UACAGAGGUCUCAAGCGUUGUUCGGAUUCAUUGGGCGUAAAGGGUGCGUAGGCGGCGCGGUAAGUCGGGUGUGAAAUCUCGGGGCUUAACUCCGAAACUGCAUUCGAUACUGCCGUGCUUGAGGACUGGAGAGGAGACUGGAAUUUACGGUGUAGCGGUGAAAUGCGUAGAUAUCGUAAGGAAGACCAGUGGCGAAGGCGGCUAUCUGGACGGUUUCUGACGCUAAGACGCGAAAGCGUGGGAGCAAACAGG
rnacentral:rRNA from 1 species